GACAGGAUACAGGACUGGCGGAUUAGUGGAAGCAACCACGUGGACUGUAUCCGAAGAAAAGCCGACCGCCUGGGCAAAAAUU
ncrna:Thermosinus carboxydivorans Nor1 ZMP/ZTP riboswitch